rnacentral:rRNA from 1 species
AUUGAACGCUGGCGGCAUGCUUUACACAUGCAAGUCGAACGGCAGCAUGGGUGCUUGCACCUGAUGGCGAGUGGCGAACGGGUGAGUAAUGUAUCGGAACAUGUCCGGAAGUGGGGGAUAACGUAGCGAAAGUUACGCUAAUACCGCAUAUGCCCUGAGGGGGAAAGGAGGGGAUCGCAAGACCUUUCGCUUUCGGAGUGGCCGAUAUCAGAUUAGCUUGUUGGUGAGGUAAAGGCUCACCAAGGCGACGAUCUGUAGCGGGUCCGAGAGGAUGAUCAGACACACUGGGACUGAGACAAGGCCCAGACUCCUACGGGAGGCAGCAGUGGGGAAUUUUGGACAAUGGGGGCAACCCUGAUCCAGCCAUGCCGCGUGAGUGAAGAAGGCCUUCGGGUUGUAAAGCUCUGUCAGUGGGAACGAAUAAGUCGGUUAAUACCCGGCGAUGACGGUACCCGCAAAGGAAGCACCGGCUAACUCUGUGCCAGCCGCCGCAGAAAAAC